rnacentral:snRNA from 1 species
GAAUGCUAACAUAGCUCUUUUGAAUUUUUCUAGCAGGCUUUCUGACUUUAUUCUGAAAACCCAA